rnacentral:rRNA from 1 species
GGACUACUCGGGUAUCUAAUCCUGUUUGAUCCCCACACUUUCGUGCCUCAGCGUCAGUACCACCCUAGCAAGCUGCCUUCGCAAUAGGUGUUCUGUGUGAUAUCUAUGCAUUUCACCGCUACACCACACAUUCCGCCUGCCUCGUCUGUACUCAAGCCAAACAGUAUCAAUGGCAGUCUCCCGGUUAAGCCGAAAAAUUUCACCACUGACUUGAAUAGCCGCCUACGCACCCUUUAAACCCAAUAAAUCCGGAUAACGCUCGCAUCCUCCGUAUUACCGCGGCGGCUGGCAC